rnacentral:tRNA from 1 species
GGGCAAGUGGCGGAAUUGGCAGACGCACGGGACUUAAAAUCCCUUGCUCCGAACGGAGCGUGAGGGUUCGAAUCCCUCCUUGCCUA